UUUUCUAAAAAGUGUCUACUU
rnacentral:snRNA from 1 species